rnacentral:rRNA from 1 species
GUGAGGAAUAUUGCGCAAUGGGGGCAACUCUGACGCAGCCAUGCCGCGUGCAGGAAGAAGGCGCUACGCGUUGUAAACUGCUUUUAACCGGGAAGAAACCCCAGGACGUGUCCUGGGUUGACGGUACCGGAGGAAUAAGCACCGGCUAACUUCGUGCCAGCAGCCGCGGUAAUACGAAGGGUGCAAGCGUUAUCCGGAGUCAUUGGGUUUAAAGGGUGCGUAGGCGGAGCGUUAAGUCAGUGGUGAAAUCCUGCAGCUUAACUGUAGACUUGCCAUUGAUACUGGCGCUCUUGAGUGCGCUUGAAGUGGGCGGAAUGUGCCGUGUAGCGGUGAAAUGCUUAGAUAUGGCACAGAACACCAAUUGCGAAGGCAGCUCACUAAGGCGAUACUGACGCUGAGGCACGAAAGCGUGGGGAUCGAACAGGAUUAGAAACCCCAGUAGUCC